AACGAACGCUGGCGGCAGGCUUAACACAUGCAAAUCGAACGCCCCGCAAGGGGAGUGGCAGACGGGUGAGUAACGCGUGGGAAUCUACCCAUCCCUACGGAAUAACUCAUGGAAACGUGUGCUAAUACCGUAUACGCCCUACGGGGGAAAGAUUUAUCGGGGAUGGAUGAGCCCGCGUUGGAUUAGCUAGUUGGUGGGGUAAAGGCCUACCAAGGCGACGAUCCAUAGCUGGUCUGAGAGGAUGAUCAGCCACAUUGGGACUGAGACACGGCCCAAACUCCUACGGGAGGCAGCAGUGGGGAAUAUUGGACAAUGGGCGCAAGCCUGAUCCAGCCAUGCCGCGUGAGUGAUGAAGGCCUUAGGGUUGUAAAGCUCUUUCACCGGAGAAGAUAAUGACGGUAUCCGGAGAAGAAGCCCCGGCUAACUUCGUG
rnacentral:rRNA from 1 species